GCGGGUGUAGCUCAAUGGUAGAGCAGCAGCUUCCCAAGCUGAAUACGAGGGUUCGAUUCCCUUCUCCCGCUCCA
rnacentral:tRNA from 6 species